CAAAGUAUCCUUACUUGCCUGACCUAAGUUACGAUCGGCCCGCUUGCAAAAUCGAUAGCAAGUUAUUCGACCAAAAGAAAGGUUUGGAGAGUCCCGAAAAUAAUCCAGCCACUUGGUAUUCCAACGCUCUGUCGAACCAUUCUCUAACAGCUCACAAUUUCAAGGAAGAGUUUCCAACUCUUGACCACGUUGGAUCGAUUCAGAUCCCCAGCUGUGAUAGAUCGCGAAAUAAAGGUUCAAGUCAAUCCAGAAGUUGUACGUUCUCUCCAGCAGAUCUGAAACAUCGGAAAAUGCUUACAAACUUGGGCACUAUCGACGUAUACAAGGAUAAAAUUGUGGAUGCGAUUGAGAUUUUCCCCUCAUCUCGAAAGUAGAGAAAUUGCAACUAUGAAAUUCGACAACCUACAGUUGCCAUUGGACGGCUUUGAGGUUGUGAGAGAGCAUAUUAAUUCAGCUUUCUCUUCUCUUAACGAUUAUUCUCCAUUGCAAAUGAAGGUCUAUCGCAGUGAUUUUGGGAAUGAAUCCCCUGAUUGGAAUGGCGAGUUGGUUGGCAAAAAAUGCACUUUUCCUGCACAGUGGAAUUGCGAGUAUUCUGUGUCAUGGGAUGUUCCACGUGAUGAUGAUGAAACAAAUCAUGCAUAUUUUGAGAAAACCUUAGUUCUGCUAAUUCUGGGGGAAAUUCGAGCCCAAUGCAUAACCUUAAUGAUGAUCACCAAACUUAGAGUACCUCGAGUUGGUCUAAAUAAAGACUUUGUCGUGCAUCUGCAAUGACUCUUUUGACACAUGGUAUUGUAACCGCAGGUUGGACUGUCUAACCGGUGAAGUAAAUGUCACAAAAGGUACCUUUUUCCCCUGACGACAAGAUACUUUAAGCCCAUCAUAUUCUCCUCACAGAUUGUAUGAAUCGCUGUAAGAGAAGAACCCCAUCAAAUGACGUCAAGGAACAAUCACUUAUGUUAUCGUCAUUCCUUGAUUUCAAUACCCAACAGCUUUAUAGCGUAUUUAUACCUGUAACUUCUCCGUCACAUGAUGCACACAAACCACACAUCAGCAGAGAAUUGAAGUGGAAGGUUUAUGGUCGAAAAUUUUCUCGUUGAGAAGCACUUACUAUUUGUCAACUCACAGUGAUUCCCAUCUGGCAUGAAUAGAACGACCCACAUAUUGUUAUGUGCUGCAUAAAAUACUGCAAUAACAAUCGCUGUCCUGACUACGGGGGAAAGAUUUCUCAAGCGAGAUGCAGGGUGUCAUUGCACCGAAAAUUCUCCAGGAUCAAAAGGCAAUCUUCUUAGCCGACUAACAAUGGGAACGAGGACUCCAAUUUUGUCUGUUUUCCAGCCAGCGAGGAUCGCGCUACUGUGGAUGCAAAUACUAUCCCUCAUCCGACCCAGUCGAUUAAUAUUCCUCUCCAAGUGUUUGGCACUGUAGAACCAACUUCAGCAAUGGAACAAUACAUCAAUGUCUUUCCAUUUGAAGCUCCAGCGAACAGAUCACGCAGUUAUUAAGCAGUUCUUGAUAAGCCCUGAAGAGAUUAGAGAGCGUCUGGAUUAGCAGUGCAAAAACACUACCAAGUGAAUAUGAAUGUACAUGCUUCCAAAAGCAUGAAACCAUGUUUACCCUGCAGGAUAUGUCCAGAAGUCUAUGAUUCCCUUGUAUCUAGGAAAGAUAUUACAGCAGGUACUCCACUCUAUGAACCAGAUUCCCUAGCAUGCGUUAUACGUAAUCCGCUUUUAUCAAGUCAAGGAGAUGCCAUACUUUUCAGGCUGGUUUUGUAAUCAACCAUAUGAGAGUGUACAUAUUGAAGAGUUCUAUUUCAUUAUAGUGCAGUAAUGUACGAUGUGCAGCUAAGGCAGCGUUGACCACAAAGUUAUUCUUAGAGGGGAAAACUCAUCUUGUGAUAUGUUUCUGACAAAAUUAGUGACCAAUACCCAGAGGAUUAUGCUCUCCCACUUCGCUUAGCAGCCUUGGAAAGGAUACUGAAAUUCUGUCGUGACAAGUUAAAUUAGAGCAUUAGCGAGAAGCAUAUUCUGAACUGCAGCAGGCCCCAGAGACCAGGAGAUCAUCGUCAAAUUUGUUGCCGACAGAAAGGGAGAAAGCCGAAGAUGAGACGGAGUAUUAUACCUACAAUGAAAAAGCAGACCACUGCUUCCCUUCAAACGUUUUGUACGACCAUGCUGUACUGAAUGAAGGGAUGCACAAUGUUGAGGAAGACUCGCUGAAAGUCUGUGCCCCUUUUAAAGCACUACCUCAGGAGGAUAUCAAUGAUAUGAGCAUAAGGGGGAGGUAUACUACGGAAGAAACUGAAGCCUGAGGAUGCAUAUGAUUCUGAUUGCCGAGCUUUGCUCUCCAGUCAGGAAGAGUGGUCACCAGCAUUUCAGCUACGAUAUAGUCCAAUCUGUUCCUUUUGAACUUCAAAGGCCUGACUAUUCUUGCGGCUCAAAGCAGAAUAAGGUUCCAGACCAUGGCAUUAAGAGUAUCGAUUCUGUUCUCAUUAAAUUUCAAAGACCAACAGAACUCUCCCACUAUGGACUUGGUCAGCAAGAUCCAGAAGAGACUUGACGUCCGGAAAAGGAUAUCAAUCAGACAAGUGAUAUGAAGCAGAAGAUCAACUUAGGAUUGACCAAACUCAUUGCUGAAUGUGGAAUCAGGUUACUGACGGAUGUGAAUAUACAUGGAGGCAGACGAUGGUCAUCGAGCCUUCACAGGAACAACAAACCCAGAAUAAUUUCCAACAUAACGAACUCGCUACUCAAGACUUUAAAAAGGAUGGAGGAUGCACCAUCUGUGACGCCGUUUAUGCGAAAAUCAUUGAGAGCUAUUAAUGUGACCCAGCUCAAACUUGAAAACAAUGUAAUAAGGUUAUCGAAUAGUUCUUAGAAUUAAAUGAUCCUUCAACAGAUCUUUUAAUACAUAAGAAUUUCCUGAUGCAUAGUUAGAAAAGAGGUGUACAGCCAACCAAGAAUGCAUCAUUGUUAGAAUGUCUCUAGGUCUAUUCCGCUGCUUGAUUGUGCUUGUGAUACUAACGUUUCAAAUUGAGUAGAAAAAUACUUGCAUAAUAAUUCUCAAAGCUUGAGCAGAGGGCUUCUGCAAACCCUGCAUUGGACUUGAAAAUUAGCCACAAAAUACUACGCCUGACAGUUACGACUAUAGGAGCACUUCAAAGUCCACAUCUUCUAUAGUUGCGGUGAGCAAAAGCAGUAACCCUUGAAUGAACAUGAACACUUCUAAGAACCCUGUCGAUAAUCUGAGUACAUUGUUUUCAAAUUUGAGCUUCGAGUUUAUGAGA